rnacentral:rRNA from 1 species
AGAAUGAACGUUGGCGGCGUGGAUUAGGCAUGCAAGUCGAACGGAUCCGGUCUUCGGACCGGGUCAGUGGCGCAAGGGUGAGUAAGGCGACGGUAACCAACCCCGGGAUUGGGCAUAGCCGCGGGAAACUGCGGGUAAUACCCAGCGACGCAUCGAACCGGCAUCGGUUUGAUGUCAAAGCUCCGGCGUCCUGGGACGGGCUGUCGUGGUAUUAGGUAGUUGGCGGGGUAACGGCCCACCAAGCCUUCGAUGCCUACCGGGCGUGCGAGCGUGGCCCGGCACACUGGGACUGAGACACUGCCCAGACACCUACGGGUGGCUGCAGUCGAGAAUCUUCGGCAAUGGGCGCAAGCCUGACCGGGCGACGCCGCGUGGAGGAUGAAGGCCUUCGGGGUUGUAAACUCCUGUCGGAGGGGGAGGAAGGGGAAACCUUGACCUAUCCCGUGGAGGAAGCGACGGGCUAAGUUCGUGCCAGCAGCCGC